rnacentral:lncRNA from 1 species
AAAUCCUACAUCCCUCGUCGCGCCGCCGCCCAUCCGCCUGACUCCUAGAUCUCGCACCACCACCAUCGUCCCCUGCUAGGCUGCCACCAAUCCUGCACAGCGCAUCCCCACCACCCCAUCGAUUCAGGGUCGAGCUGCCCCGGCUCCGAGGAGACAAGGCACGGCCUCCUUGUUCCCCACCCUCACCAUUGUCUUCAGCAGAUGCAGAUGCAGCAUGCCCCUCCACGUCCUCGACCCCUAGGCGACUCCAUCACCAAUCCGCUCAUCCACACGUUAUUCUCCUUCACACCAAGGUGAGCCCCAACCCUAACUUACCUCCAGUUCCCCUGGCAUCCGAUUUGGGCAACUAGGGUUCUAUAAACUGGUUGGAUAUGCUCAGAUCGGAACAUAAAUGUCCUAUUUUUGUGACUGGGUGUUAAAACAAGAGACAUGGGCGGAGAUUUGUCUUUUCAAAGCAUCACUACUGAUUUGAGAUUUAUUUUGAAGCAAAUGACUGAUUUGAGAUUGUUGUACUGUUAUUACUUGCUAACCUGAAUUUCUAUGCUCAACUCACGAUAUUUGUUAGGUGUGCAAUAUGUCAAGCUCUUACCAGAUGUGUUCUGAUUUUUGGUUCUAAACCCUAAUAUGUCAAGCAAAUUGGAGAGGUAAGAUUUUUGGUUCUUGUUAAAUUUGUCUUCCAAGAAAGGAAAUACUGUAGAGUUCUAGAAAUACUGUUGCAGAUUUCCCAAACAGUCAAGUUUUGAAAUACUUAUUGAUAGAAAUUCAGUUAACACCAUUUCAUAUAAUAUCAGAACCUAAAAAACCUGUGUCUUCAGUUUGACAGCAUCACUAUUCUGGGCUCACUAUUAUGUACUUUGUGUGCAUGAAGGACAGGGCUGACCCUUGGAUGCCAUAUCUCCCCUUCGUCGCUACUUCACAUAGCUUGGUGAGUUAGCUUUUGCUGCUAGUGGGAUGCCAAAAUGCACAAGAUGAUUUUGUGAACUGCCUAUUCAUCUGUGAUCACUUGGCUACACUAGUUUCAGUUGGCAGAUGCAGCAAACAUGAACUUGAUAUACGUUAAAUAGGUGUUUGCUAUUGUCACAUUUUUUUGCCGUUGUCUUACCAUGUUAUCUGAUUUGUAAACAUGAAACUGCUAUUGGCAGAUGCAACAACUUUCUGUUGAUCUAGUUGCUGAUUUGGUGCUUCGUGUUAACCAGCAAGGAGUUGGGCAGAUCAAAUCUUCUUUUCUUCUGUUGUUUGUCUUGGUUUUCUGACACAGACAGGUACAGUACCUCUUGAUCCAAGUAUUUACUGCUUGUGUUGGUUUUUUAUUGUUUUAUGUUUUGUUUUUCAAUUGUCCAGUUCAGUUUUAGACUUAGAAAGUAGACAGGUACAGUAGCUCUUGAUCCAAUUAGUGUAGUGGCAGCCUAUGCUCUGCGGCCGAGUAUACCUCAAGGCCAGCACAAUACCCUUCUUCUUGCUCCUUUUUCCUGAAGGCACCAGCUGCUGGAUCCAAUAAAAGCAGGCAAGAUUCAAUCAUGGACCGCCUGUAUCCGUGGUGGACUGUAAGGUAUCUUCAUCCGGUACUGGACCAUGAGGACGCCGUGCUCCUCCUUCCCAACAUUCACAUCCACAAGUGCAGGGACUAGCAAGCCAUGCCAUCCACGCAUGCCCUCUCUCCCAUAUGUUGUUGUCUGCCGUUCAUCCAUGUAAGGUCAUAGCCUAAUCUCCUUCCCUAAAUAUUUUGAUGGUGCAGACCUAUCAUUCCUCUUUGUGCUCAUGUUGUGGCUAUGUGUGCUUUUUUAUAACUUAUUUUGGUGAAUUGCUUAGUAUUUGAGUUCAAAUGUAGUUCAAAUGGCAGCUUAUUAUUAUGAUAUAUUUAGCUCAAGUAAUUGAAGCACAAUAUUUUUAAUAGAAGCCAUAUGUUAAAUGUUGAAUAUAAUGGGCCAUUAGCUCAUAUUUAUAUUUGAUGAUUAAUUCAAGGGCCCAUAAUUAAUGCUAUAAUGAAAAUAGUUUAGUACCAUAUCGAUGAUUGACCAUGUGUUAACUCAACUUAAAUAGGUGGCCUUUGUUAGCCCCUAUGGAGAAGUUGAGGGAGGAUGAAGGGGUGCCACACGCGCGCCGCCGAGCCGAGCCGUGUCUUGUCUUGUCUUGUAGCGAGCGAGCGAGCGAGCGAGCGUGACGUGGCACACGAGGACUAGACCAGACGUGACGUGGCGCAUGCGUGGUGAAUAAGGAAAGGGAGGAAAACGGGAUCUGACCGUUGUGUAAUUAAUUGCUAAUUGAUUGACUCGGUUUAUGGCAAUUAAAAGAGAUUAAUGGUCAUCAUUCAGAUGUUUCCUCCUGAGGCCUAUGUAUACCAUACGCACCCACUCCUUCCAUACCUGCGAGAACACACAUCUAGUCUUCUUCUUCCUGUCGAGUUGCUCUCUGUCCAUUCCCGUCCCGAACCUCUGCGCGCACAGAGAUCGGGAGAGCAGGCCUCCGGAACCCGACUCCUUGCAUCGAGACACCUACUUGGGUGUUGCGGGCAAUCAGGUUUUUGGGGAGCGUCUUCCGCGACUGCUCACCAGCGAGAUCGUCUUCUUCCACUCCGGCGAGUCUUCUUUCUGGUGGACGUUCGCGCGGAUCCGUCUUCUUCCACUCCGGCGAGUCUUCUUCCUGGUGGAUCGAGAUCGACUACUUCGUCUUCUUCCUGGUGGACGUUCGCGGGACUGCACUGCGAACAUCUUCCUGCACCGACUGUGGUCCGCUACUUCGAGCAACGCACUAUGUCGACUAGUGUGAAUGGAGCCGCCGGUGCCUUCGGCACUGGUCCCUCCUCUGGGUACAAUCUUAAACGAUUGUUUUUCGUUUUCAGUAUGUUUGUUGUUGUUGCAGUAGUAUUUGCAAUGUUUAUCUCUAAUCUGAGUAGUGAUAAAAUUGCACACGUGCACAUAUAUGCCACCACAUUAUUAUUGGUAAUUUUCUGGAUUAAAUCAAACAUUAAAAUGUCUAAAUUUCUAACAAUCCAAAAACCAUUUUUCUGUUAGUGGUUUUGCUGCUGUGUUAAAACCGGAUCUGUUUGAUGGUUCAAAUUAUAAGCGGUGGCGCGUGAGAAUGAUAUUAUGGUUGACUGCUAUGAGUUGCUAUGACGUCGCGAAGGGGAAGCCUGAGGAGGAGAAAAUGUUCUUGGCUGCUGAUAACCUCUUCAGAGGCGCCGUCAUAAGUGCGCUCGAUAAAAAGUAUGUCGACAAUUAUAUUAUUUGCACCACUGCUAAGGAAUUAUGAGAUGCGCUUGAGGCCAAGUUCGGGGUUUCUGAUGCUGGUAGCGAGCUGUACCUCAUGGAACAAUUAUUUUAUUACAAGAUGGUUGAUAGCCGUUCUGUGAUUGAACAAGCACAUGAGAUACAGACACUAGCUAAGGAACUAGAACAAUUCCCUUGUGUGUUGCCUGAAAAGUUUGUGGCCGGCGGUAUAAUCGCUAAGCUGCCACCUUCUUGGAAGGAUUUUGCUGCUUCUCUAAAAACAUCAGAGGAAAGAGUUUGGUCUUGCUGAACUCAUGGGAACUCUUGAUGUUGAGGAGAAGGCGAGAGCAAAAGAUACACAUGGGAAAGGCGUUGAGUCUUCUAGUCCCAAUGUGGUGCAGAAGAAAAAGCAAUUUGCAUUCCGUAAUAAGAAAAAGAAUAAGCAAGAGAACAAGCAAGGAGCAAACGCGAAGCCAAAACAAACUGCAACUUUUAAGAAGAAAAAGGCAGAAGGAGGCUGCUUUGUUUGCGGUAGCGAUGACCACUGGGCGAGUGGUUGUCCAGACCGCAAAUUUAAACGAGAAGAGAAAAAGUCAGUAAAUAUGGUCAUUGGCGAGGCUGAAGGAGGAACAUCUGGGUAUGGUAAUUAUUUACCUACUGUUCUUUCAGUCUGUCAUUCACCUGAGUGGUGGAUGGAUACUGGGGCUAAUGUUCAUGUGUGUGCUGACAUCUCUUUGUUUUUUUCUUAUCAGGCCGGCAACACUGGAGCCUUACUGAAGGGGAACGGAUCUCAUGCCCGUGUUCUUGGUGUUGGUACGGUCAUUCUGAAGUUCACUUCGGGAAAGACGGUGCUGAUGAAGAACGUGCAGCAUGUCCCCUCCAUCAAAAAGAAUCUAGUUAGCGGCUCACAGCUUUGUAGAGAUGGCUACAAAAUAGUCUUUGAGGCCAAUAAAGAUAUACUUUCAAAAUUUGGAACUUUUAUUGGUAAAGGUUAUGACUGCGGAGGCUUGUUCCGCAUAUCCAUGAAUGAUGUGUGUAAUAAAAUCGUGAACCAUACUGUGAUUUCGAAUGAGUCGAAUAUUUUGCAUUCGCGAGUUUGUCAUGUUAAUUAUGGUUGUUUAACGCGGCUAGCAAAUAUGAAUUUAAUCCCGAAAUUUAAUUUAGUCAAAGGUUCUAAGUGCCAUGUAUGCGUGCAAUCCAAGCAACCUCGCAAGCCUCACAAGGUUGCGGAGGCGAGGAACUUGGCACCAUUAGAAUUAAUCCAUUCCGAUCUAUGCGAGAUGAAUGGUGAGUUGACUAAAGGUGGUAAACGAUACUUCAUCACUUUUAUAGACGAUUGUACUAGAUUUUGUCAUGUGUACUUGCUUAAAACAAAGGAUGAAGCAUUACAAUAUUUUAAAGCCUAUAAAGCUGAAGUAGAAAAUCAACUUGAGAGGAAAAUUAAACGCUUAAGGUCCGAUCGUGGUGGAGAAUAUUUUUCAAGUGAGUUUUCUGACUUCUGCGUAGAACAUGGAAUUAUUCAUGAGAGGACACCGCCAUACUCACCACAGUCCAAUGGACCACAGUCCAAUGGGAUUGCCGAAAAGAAGAACCGUACUCUAACUGAGAUGGUUAACGCCAUGUUAGAAACUUCGGGUCUAUCUAAGGAAUGGUGGGGUGAGGCGAUACUGACAGCGAGUCAUGUCCUGAAUAGAGUUCCUACAAAGAAUAAAGAAAUCACACCAUUUGAGGAAUGGGAAAAGAAAAGAGUAAAUGUCUCCUAUUUGCGUACUUGGGGUUGUUUGGCUAAAGUGAAUGUGCCAAUAAACAAGAAACGCAAACUCGGACCUAAGACAGUUGACUGUAUUUUCCUUGGUUAUGCUACUCACAGCAUAGGGUAUAGGUUCUUAAUAAUAAACUCUAGAGUACCAGAUAUGCAUGUUGGUACUAUAAUGGAAUCUAGAGAUGCAACAUUCUUUGAAAGUGAGUUUCCUACACCUAAUAUUUCUAGUCAUGAGUCUAUAAACUCCCAUGAGCAAUUUAUUCCGAUAGAACAAUCUGAGGAACCCCAUGUUCACUAUCCUGAGGAGGAUGAUAAUGUAGUCACUCGAACGAGCAAAAGACAAAGAAAAGUGAAGUCUUUUGGAGAUGACUAUAUUGUGUACCUCGUGGAUGAUACCCCAACAACCAUUAAAGAGGCAUUUUCCUCUCCUUAUGCUGACUUGUGGAAGGAAGCAAUAAGGAAUGAGAUGGAUUCUAUAAUGUCUAAUGGAACUUGGGAAGUGGUUGAACGACCUUAUGGGUGCAAACCUAUAGGGUGCAAAUGGGUGUUUAAGAAAAAGCUUAGGCCUGAUGGUACAAUUGAGAGGUACAAGGCUAGGCUUGUGGCUAAGGGUUAUACCCAAAGAGAAGGGGAAGAUUUCUUUGACACUUAUUCACCUGUUGCCCGUUUGACCACAAUUCGAGUGUUAUUGUUUUUGGCUGCCUCUCAUGGUCUUCUCAUUCAUCAGAUGGAUGUAAAGACAGCUUUCCUAAAUGGAGAGUUAGAGGAAGAGAUCUAUAUGGAUCAGCCUGAUGGAUUUGUAACAAGUGGUCAAAAGGGCAAGGUGUGUAAGUUAUUAAAAUCCCUUUAUGGCCUAAAACAAGCUCCAAAACAAUGGCAUGAGAAGUUUGACAGAACCUUAACUUCUGCCGGCUUUGCUGUUAAUGAAGCUGACAGAUGUGUGUACUAUCGGUUUGGUGGGGGUGAAGGUGUGAUCCUUUGUCUGUACGUGGAUGACAUACUGAUCUUUGGGACAAGCCUUGUUGUGAUCAAGGAAGUUAAAGACUUUUUGCCUAAUAACUUUGAGAUGAAAGAUUUGGGAGAAGCUGUUAUUCUAAACAUUAAGCUUUCAAGAGAAGGAAAUGGUGGGAUAACUCUUGUGCAGUCCCACUAUGUGGAAAAGAUUUUAAGUCGCUUUGGGUACAGUGACUGUCAAUCUGCUCCUACGCCUUAUCAUCCUAGUGUGCUAUUGAGGAAAAAUCGAAGAAUAGCAAGGGAUCAACUAAGAUUCUCCCAAAUUAUAGGCUCAUUGAUGUACCUUGCUAGUGCCACGAGGCCUGAUAUCUCGUUUGCAGUGAACAAACUUAGCUGGUUUGUGUCAAAUCCGGGAGAUAUUCAUUGGCAAGCUCUUGAGAGAGUGAUGCGCUAUUUGAAAGGUACUGUGAGCUAUGGCAUUCACUAUACCGGAUACCCGAAGGUAUUAGAGGGUUAUUGUGAUGCAAACUGGAUAUCUGAUGCUGAUGUGUUAAAGGCCACAAGUGGAUAUGUGUUUCUGCUUGGAGGUGGCGCUGUUUCAUGGAAGUCUUGCAAGCAGACUAUCUUAACGAAGUCAACCAUGGAAGCAGAACUCACAGCAUUAGACACCGCCGGUGCUGAGGCCGAGUGGCUUCGUGAACUCCUGAUGGAUCUACUGGUGGUUGAAAAACCUGUGCCGGCUAUUUCCAUGAACUGUGACAAUCAAACAGUGAUCACUAAAGUCAACAGUUCUAAGGACAACAUGAAGUCUACUAGGCAUGUCAAACGGCGUUUGAAGACUGUCAGAAAGUUGAGAAACUCCGGAGUUAUAGCAUUGGACUAUGUUCAUACGUCCAAGAAUCUGGCAGAUCAAUUCACAAAGGGACUAUCACGUAAUGUAAUAGAUAGUGCAUCGAGUGAGAUGGGUUUGAGACCCACGUGAGGUCUACCAUGGUGGCAACCUGUUCUAUGUGAUCGGAGAUCCCGUGAAGUAGAAUGGUGAAACAAGCCAGAAGUAGAUUGUGAGGAAAGACCCUUUACUUAACUCAUCUCAAUUGCACUUCUUUCCUAAGUCUGUAAGGAAGGCUGGUUAUAUACCUUAAUGUAUUCCAAAGCGGCUUGUGAAGCGAUAGAUGUUGUCCUACAGAACAUCUUUAAGGAAUACACCUAUAUGAGUUUGACUGCUAGUCACAGUCUAUGAGAUUUUGGGUGAUCUCUAGAUACUCAUGAAUGGGCCAGAAGUAUGACUUAUAUGCUUCAACCAGAGGGGAUGUUCAUGCAACCCGGUAUCAGUUAUGAGUGUAGAUGAAACUUAUAUCACACAAAACUUGCAAUUCAAGGCAUAGUCCAUUGUUCAAGUUGUGGCUAAGUGUAGUCUGUACUCUAGGUGGAAGUUCAACUUAACAGUCUCCACUGAAACGACUGGUAUAUGAAACGACAUGGAAACUCGAGAGCUUUUCUUAUGUGCCCUAGAAAUAGGUGGGGAUUGUUGAAUAUAAUGGGCCAUUAGCCCAUAUUUAUAUUUGAUGAUUAAUUCAAGGGCCCAUAAUUAAUGCUAUAAUGAAAAUGGUUUAGUACCAUAUUGAUGAUUGACCAUGUGUUAACUCAACUUAAAUAGGUGGCCUUUGUUAGCCCCUAUGGAGAAGUUGAGGGAGGAUGAAGGGGUGCCACACGCGCGCCGCCGCCGAGCCGAGCCGUGACGUGACGUGCCAUGCCGUGGCUUGUCUUGUCUUGUCUUGUCUUGUCUUGUCGAGGUCGAGACGAGCGAGCGAGCGUGACGUGGCACACGAGGACCAGACCAGACGUGACGUGGCGCAUGCGUGGUGAAUAAGGAAAGGGAGGAAAAACGGGAUCUGACCGUUGUGUAAUUAAUAGCAAUUAAUUGCUAAUUGAUUGACUCGGUUUAUGGCAAUUAAAAGAGAUUAAUGGUCAUCAUUCAGAUGUUUCCUCCUGAGGCCUAUAUAUACCAUACGCACCCACUCCUUCCAUACCUGCGAGAACACACAUCCAGUCUUCUUCUUCCUGUCGAGUUGCUCUUUGUCCAUUCCCGUCUCGAACCUCUGCGCGCACAGAGAUCGGGAGAGCAGGCCUCCGGAACCCGACGCCUUGCAUCGAGACACCUGCUCGGGUGUUGCGGGCAAUCAGGUUUUUGGGGAGCGUCUUCCGCGACUGCUCACCUGCGAGAUCGUCUUCUUCCACUCCGGCGAGUCUUCUUCCUGGUGGACGUUCGCGCGGAUCCGUCUUCUUCCACUCCGGCGAGUCUUCUUCCUGGUGGAUCGAGAUCGACUACUUCGUCUUCUUCCUGGUGGACGUUCGCGGGACUGCACGGCGAACAUCUUCCUGCACCGACUGUGGUCCGCUACUUCGAGCAACGCACUAUGUCGACUAGUGCGAAUGGAGCCGCUGGUGCCUUCGGCACUGGUCACUCCUCUGGGUACAAUCUUAAACGAUUGUUUUUCGUUUUCAGUAUGUUUGCUGUUGUUGCAGUAGUAUUUGCAAUGUUUAUCUCUAAUCUGAGUAGUGAUAAAAUUGCACACGUGCACAUAUAUGCCACCACAUUAUUAUUGGUAAUUUUCUGGAUUAAAUCAAACAUUAAAAUGUCUAAAUUUCUAACAUUAAAUGCAUGGAUCCUUGCAAUGUGGAGGUGUGUUCUAUUACACAUGGCUGAAGAUGCUUAGAUUAAACAAGUGUGGAUGCUUUUUCAGAGUGUAGACACCUAUACAUGGCCAAAAGGCCCUUGCAUUUUUCAGAGUGACCUUGUAGAGUGAUGUAAGCUGUUCUGAGUGCAAUUUACGUUAAUGUGUCAGCUUAUUAUAUUUAUGUUAAUAUAUUUGGCUCAUGAAUUCUGAAUGAUACUUUUCUGUGAUAUUGAGUACAAGUUUUAGUUACUGAUUUUUUCCUCUCCUAUCUUGCAGUUUGUUACCAAGGAGCACCAAGAGUUGAGUUCCAUUUUCAUCUAGGUUUACUCCUAGCCAGUUUCUAUCUAGUCUGCAUUUCAUUACUGACAUCCAGUUCCUAUACUGUUUGCAUUUCAUAACUAUCAUUUUUUUUGGAAGUGAAGAACUGAGAAGUAUG